GGGUCCGUGGUCUAGAGGCAUGAUUCUACGUUUGGGACGUAGCGACCCGGGUUCGAAUCCCGGCGGACCCC